CCCUUUCUUAUAUAUUGAUAGACUUUUAACAAGUGCACUAAAAUUUUUUGAAGCAAUAAAGUAUAAAACUUAUCUCCACAUGGAAUUCAUUAGUUUCUACUAGGUAGAGACAUUAUCAACACGGAUAUUUUAAAAUUGCGGGGUUGCACAAUGCAUAUAGUUUAUUUAACAUUCAUAACAUACAUAGCAAAAUGUAAAUAGAUUCAUAAAGAUUUUUAAAAGAAAAAAAUAUCAUGUCUUUUGAAUAAUCCUAUAUCCGUCAAUUGGUAAACUACACCUAAACUUAAUAAUUAUUAAUCUAGUUUCACUAUAAUUAAAAAACAGCUCUGAUCAAUCUUUUGACUAGAGCCCUCUUCUUGCAUUACAACUCACUAAUCUCUUAGGUGAGUUCAUACCAUCGAAGGUUUUAUUGAAUGUUUUAAUCACCCUGAUAUCUCUAAAGCAACUUGUUUAAUUCAAGAGUGUAACUAGAUCUAAGUCAAUAGUUAGUGCUAAUAGUCAAUUGAUCAUUGAGUUCAUUUUAAAUGUAAUCAAGAUACAAAAACCAUUAAACAUAAGUUAUAUCGUAUAAAUACUAGAAUUGCAAUUGUAUUAAAUAUAGUUUCACAGUUUACAUUGUUCAAACAGCUAGAACAAAAUCAACUUAAUCACGAAAUAUUUAGAUACUCAUGUCUAAAGCACAAAUAACCAAAUUAAAUAAAGACAACAUUACAUGAAAUAUGGUCUAACUAUGACUUGGAUGGUAUACCACCACAAAUUCUGCAACCCUUAGCUCCAAAUAAUGUGUCUUUGAAAUCUCCAAAAUCCCAACCCUUGCUGUGAAAUGAAGUUGGGAUUAUUUCAUUUCCAUCAUCUUAGAGUACAACAUCAUAACUUCAAGGUCCAUAAAAUUAAGGAAAAACAGAAGAAGAAAACAUAACUAUUGAGAGCAUGCACAACAAAAGUAAAAGACACCUAAAAUUAUUCUACAAGUCUCUUGCUAUAGAAAAAACUCAUUUAUCUUCUUAUGGGUAUACAAUUUCCGCUACGACACCUAAAAUUAAAUCCUCGAUGUUGUUUACAAUCUUUAUCUGUUUUACAAUUCCAAUAAACUAUCCUACCGAAAGAAGAAUUAGAAAUUGUGAUGCUAAAACAUAUGGAAAGAAAUAGAAUUAGAACAUAAACUAACUUCGGAGUUUUAACCAUAUUUUUAACUAUUUGCACCGAAAUAAUAGUAAAUGAGUUGGUCUCUUUAUAGUGUAUCAUAAAUUGCAUGGUCCUAUAGAAAUAAUUAAAUAGUUGAAGCAUUUUAAAAUUUUAAAACCCCUUCGGAAUUUUAGAAUCAUUACUCAAUGUAUCUUAAAUAUAUUAAUGUGUUAUUUUAAACCUUUAACACAUUUAGGAAGGCGUUCAUGUAAUAAACAUAAUAAUAAAAAUAAUUGAAUAUAAUUUUAAUAACUUGUCAUCCUUUAAAUAAUUUUAUUAUUUUUUUAACCCUUUUAUGACAAGUCAUCUUACGUUAUUCUUAGCAUGUUUUUCAGUCAAUUUUAGUAGGUUUUACCAGCAAAGUAGAGGAGUAUUAGAUCAAUUGCAUGAUUUUGGAACAUUUGUAUUGUUUUCUAUAUUCGAGUCUAUAAUUCUAUUAUUCCCAAAACAUAGAAAUUUUAGGGUGUUCUUGAUGUAAUUCACGAAGAUUUUUGUGGUCCUUGGGAAGAUGAAGAAGCAAAAUUCAAGAGGCCUCAGAAGACUUUACAGAGGGAGGAAUUUUUUUCCCUAGUUCCAAUACAUCUUACAUUGAAGAAAACACCUCAAGAGGCGAAGAAAAUAGGAAAAACAACACAGAAAACGCACUAAAGUGCCGAGGCGCACCAUAGAGGGGGCUAGGCACCCCAGAGCUAUUGAACUAAAGCACCUAGUGCAAGCCAGGUGUGCUAGGCGCCUCAGGAUGGCAGGCACAUGCACCUAGCGCAUGGCCUUAGGCGCCUAGCGCAUGGUGGCUUGCGAAAAAAGUCAUUUUCUGUGACUUAUUCGCCCCUAGAAGUCCAUGAUUUUAGCCCAAAUUAGGUGGAAACUUUUCCUAUAAUUACCGCAUUCUUCAUUCAUAAUUUCUCGUUUAGUACCGGCGCAGUUCAAGAAGAAGGCGAUUCUAUGAAACAAGGAGGAGUUAUAUCUUCUCCUAUCUUUACUAGCAUAUGUUUUUAUCUUUUUGUACUUUGUCUUAGUUAUCAUGUGUAACUAGAGACUUAUAGGCUAGAGUUCUA
rnacentral:lncRNA from 1 species